CGCAAGCCUGACGGAGCAAGACCGCGUGGGGGAGGAAUGCCUUAGGGUUGUAAACCCCUUUUAUCUGGGAAGAAGCUCUGACGGUACCUGAGGAAUCAGCCUCGGCUAACUCCGUGCCAGCAGCCGCGGUAAUACGGAGGAGGCAAGCGUUAUCCGGAAUGAUUGGGCGUAAAGCGUCCGCAGGUGGCAAUGUAAGUCUGCUGUCAAAACCCAGGGCUCAACUCUGGUCAGGCAGUGGAAACUACAUAGCUAGAGUGCGGUAGGGGCAAAGGGAAUUCCCGGUGUAGCGGUGAAAUGCGUAGAGAUCGGGAAGAACAUCGGUGGCGAAAGCGCUUUGCUAGACCGAAACUGACACUCAGGGACGAAAGCUAGGGGAGCG
rnacentral:rRNA from 1 species